rnacentral:snRNA from 1 species
GUGCUCCCUUUAGCAGCAUAUAUUCUUUGAAAAAAAAUGGACUGAUACAGACAAGAUUAGCAUGGCUUCUGUGCAAGGAUGACAUGCACAUUCAUGGAGUGUUCCAUUUAAAA